rnacentral:sRNA from 1 species
GGGUGGGGAUGGAAAUAAUAGCCACCACUGAGAUUAUAUUCUGGUUUUGGCCCCCAAAGAGAAAGAAAACUGAAUGUGUUCUAUCAUGAGGAGCCUAUGAUAGGAUCGACUUUAGAAUAUUGUAAUUUACUAGAGGAAGGAGGCAAAAAACAAAACAAAACAAAUAAGCAAAACUCAGAGCCACAAGAAAUUCGGUGGGAAACUAGGCCUCAAAGCUGAAAAUGAAAAGUCGACCUGGGGGAAGAUUUUUAAAUAAGUGGGUCAGAGGGACCAAGAGGACAUGAGGCGAUCAAUCUUAGCCCCCUGACAGCUCCCUCCGAUUGCAUCAAAGAAUUUGGCUCUUCGGGAAAGCAGAGGGAACAGCCUAAAUUCCACAUCCCUUAAAAAGGCCUGAGGGAGGGGGGAGCCAACAGAGAAAGGUGAUUCUGGGAGAUCUAGGAAACAGAUGGGAAAUGGGGACAGAGGGAAGGCGCUAACUUGGGUGGAAAGUUUGCCCCGGAGAACUCCCACGGCUCUGUCCUCCCCUCCCCCCUCUUCGCCCUCUGUCGCCCAGCCUAGAGGAGAAGGCUGCUUAGCAGGGAAAUGGAGAGCUGGAACUAGAAACUUUCUGUCAGUGUAACGUCCGCGUGGGUGGUGACCCAAUGGUGGUUGGGCUUCGAGUCACGUGACAGCCUCAUUGUGGCUCCGGAACAGAACGUGAAGUUUAGGUUGCCUGGAAGAAGCAGUAAUAAGCUAAAUUUUUUGGUUGGCUUGAUGAGACUGAAAGGGAGAAUCAAAAAAAAAAUCAAGAUUUGGGGGAAUUACCCACAGAGAUGCAAG